AGCGACACCUGCAGCGGUGGAGACGCACUAACACUGCACACUACAUAGACAACACGGACAGAUAGUGCCUGUAACGAUUAUAAUAGUAUUGGGUUCCACAAUUAAAUAACUCAUGGUUCACAAUGAGACCGGAAACACGUAUUAAGAAGGUCUGACCGCUGCUGUCCGGCCUGUUUUGCGUGUCACGGAUGACUGGCUGUUGUGAGACUUGACAAGACAGAGGCACGAUCGAGACAACACUCAUAAAUCCAGCACGAACAGACGGGGCAUCCUGCUACCGCUGGAACGUUGAUGAACAAAAGUGAUUUAGAUCAGACAGACCGAGGGAAAACAACAGACAGAGACCAGGUUUCAAAACUGGCCUAUCCAGACAGCAUUUUUAAGAGAUGAUUCAUCAGAGAUCAGAGAGCCCGGUGAAGUGCCCAUGCUGCUUGAGAAGCAGGUGGAGUGUCUAAAUAAGGACGGCAUGCUGAAGAUGGACACCAUCAUACAGCAGGUUCAGGCAAAACCAUCCGUCAUCAAGUUUGAUGAUGACGAUCACAUCUACAUCUAUGGUGUGGCUGGAUCAUAAGUUUCUUCUCAGACUUUCAUCUUCAUCAAAGCAUUUUCA